CACGCCGUAAACGGUGGGCACUAGGUGUGGGCGGCAUUCCACGUCGUCCGUGCCGUAGCUAACGCAUUAAGUGCCCCGCCUGGGGAGUACGGCCGCAAGGCUAAAACUCAAAGGAAUUGACGGGGGCCCGCACAAGCGGCGGAGCAUGUGGCUUAAUUCGACGCAACGCGAAGAACCUUACCAAGGCUUGACAUACACCGGAAACAUCCAGAGAUGGGUGCCCCCUUGUGGUCGGUGUACAGGUGG
rnacentral:rRNA from 1 species